rnacentral:rRNA from 1 species
GAUGAACGCCGGCGGUGUGCCUAAUACAUGCAAGUCGAGCGAACAGACGAGGAGCUUACUCCUCUGACGUUAGCGGCGGACGGGUGAGUAACACGUGGAUAACCUACCUAUAAGACUGGGAUAACUUCGGGAAACCGGAGCUAAUACCGGAUAACAUGUUGAACCGCAUGGUUCAACAGUGAAAGACGGUCUUGCUGUCACUUAUAGAUGGAUCCGCGUCGCAUUAGCUAGUUGGUAAGGUAACGGCUUACCAAGGCAACGAUGCGUAGCCGACCUGAGAGGGUGAUCGGCCACACUGGAACUGAGACACGGUCCAGACUCCUACGGGAGGCAGCAGUAGGGAAUCUUCCGCAAUGGGCGAAAGCCUGACGGAGCAACGCCGCGUGAGUGAAGAAGGUCUUCGGAUCGUAAAACUCUGUUAUUAGGGAAGAACAAAUGUGUAAGUAACUAUGCACGUCUUGACGGUACCUAAUCAGAAAGCCACGGCUAACUACGUG